GCCAAUGUCCUUAUCACAUUUAAUACACCAGUUCUUGUUGAAUCACCAAAGUUAAGCAAUGUUGAGCAUGGACAGUACAUGGAUGGGAGUCUGCUUGGGAACUCCAUGUGGCUGUGUUU
rnacentral:rRNA from 1 species